rnacentral:rRNA from 1 species
GACGAACGCUGGCGGCGUGCUUAACACAUGCAAGUCGAACGGAAAGGCCUGCUUUCCCUUGUGGAUUGCGGGUGCUCGAGUGGCGAACGGGUGAGUAACACGUGAGUGAUCUGCCCCCAACUUGGGUAUAAGCCUGGGAAACUGGGUCUAAUUCCCGAUAGGACUGCAGGGUGGUGCCUGUGGUGGAAAACGAUUUUCUAGUGGUUGGGGAUGAGCUCGCGGCCUAUCAGCUUGUUGGUGGGGUAAUGGCCUACCAAGGCGGCGACGGGUAGCCGGCCUGAGAGGGUGGACGGCCACAGUGGGACUGAGAUACGGCCCAGACUCCUACGGGAGGCAGCAGUGGGGAAUAUUGCACAAUGGGCGGAAGCCUGAUGCAGCGACGCCGCGUGGGGGAUGACGGCCUUCGGGUUGUAAACUCCUUUCGACCGCGAGGAAGCCACCUGGUUGGAAGGGUGGUGACGGUAGUGGUAGAAGAAGCACCGGCUAACUACGUG